UUUAAACAUGAGAGUUUGAUCUUGGCUCAGGACGAACGCUGGCGGCAUGCCUAAUACAUGCAAGUCGAACGAUGACGUCACUGCUUGCAGUGACUGAUUAGUGGCGAACGGGUGAGUAACACGUGAGGAACUUGCCCAUGAGCGGGGGACAACAUUCGGAAACGGAUGCUAAUACCCCAUAGGUGGAUUGGUCGCAUGACGAAUUCAUUAAAGGUGGCUUUGCUACCACUCA
rnacentral:rRNA from 1 species